GGGGAAUAUUGCACAAUGGAGGAAACUCUGAUGCAGCGACGCCGCGUGAGCGAAGAAGGCCUUCGGGUCGUAAAGCUCUGUCCUAUGGGACGAUAAUGACGGUACCAUAGGAGGAAGCCCCGGCUAACUACGUGCCAGCAGCCGCGGUAAUACGUAGGGGGCGAGCGUUGUCCGGAAUGACUGGGCGUAAAGGGUACGUAGGCGGCUAGAUAAGUCAGAUGUGAAAGGCAUGGGCUCAACCUGUGUUAGCAUUUGAAACUGUUUAGCUUGAGUUAAGGAGAGGAAAGUGGAAUUCCUGGUGUAGCGGUGAAAUGCGUAGAUAUCAGGAGGAAUACCAGUGGCGAAGGCGACUUUCUGGACUUAUACUGACGCUGAGGUACGAAAGCGUGGGGAGCGAAC
rnacentral:rRNA from 1 species